rnacentral:rRNA from 1 species
ACGCAAUAGAUACCCCGGUAGUCCACGCCGUAAACGAUGAGUGCUAGGUGUUGGGGGGUACCACCCUCAGUGCCGAAAGUUAAACGCAUUAAAGCACUCCGCCUGGGGAGUACGGUCGCAAGACUGAAACUCAAAGGAAUUGACGGGGGCCCGCACAAGCAGUGGAGCAUGUGGUUUAAAUUCGAAGCAACGCGAAGAACCUUACCAAGACUUGACAUCCCGCUGACCGCUCUAGAGAUAGAGUUUCCCUUCGGGGCAGCGGUGACAGGUGGUGCAUGGUUGUCGUCAGCUCGUGUCGUGAGAUGUUGGGUUAAGUCCCGCAACGAGCGCAACCCCUAUGUUGUGUUGCUACCAUUUAGUUGAGCACUUACAACAGACUGCCGGUGACAAACCGGAGGAAGGCGGGGAUGACGUCAAAUCAUCAUGCCCCUUAUGUCUUGGGCUACACACGUGCUACAAUGGGCGGUACAAAGAGACGCGAGACCGCGAGGUGGAGCCAAUCUCAUAAAGCCGUUCGUAGUUCGGACUGCAGGCUGC